rnacentral:rRNA from 1 species
UACGAGGGGGCAAAUGUUGUUCGGAAUCACUGGGCGUAAAGGGAGCGUAGGCGGGUUCUUAAGUAAGGUGUUUAAUCCCGGGGCCCAACCCCGGACCGGCACUUUAAACUGGGAAUCUUGGAAUAGUGGAGAGGUCAGUGGAAUUGGGGUGUAGCGGUGGAAUGCGUAGAGAUCCCAAGAACACCAGUUGCGAAGGCGGCUGACUGGACACAUAUUGACGCUGAGGCUCGAAAGCAUGGGGAGCAACAGGAUUAAGAA